ACGACGAGGUUGAUAGGUUCGAGGUGGAAGUGCGGCAACGUAUGCAGCUGACGAAUACUAAUCGGUCGAGGGCUUAACCAAU
rnacentral:rRNA from 1 species